GAUUUCCCUAGGACUUUAUGUCCUCUAAAGAGCCGUUCGAGACUAGGACGUUGAUAGGUUGGAUGUGGAAGCAUAGUGAUAUGUGAAGCUGACCAAUACUAAUUGCUCGUGAGGCUUGACUAUACAACACCCAAGCAGUUG
rnacentral:rRNA from 1 species